rnacentral:rRNA from 1 species
AUUGAACGCUGGCGGCAUGCCUUACACAUGCAAGUCGAACGGCAGCGCGGGGCAACCUGGCGGCGAGUGGCGAACGGGUGAGUAAUAUAUCGGAACGUACCCUGGAGUGGGGGGAUAACGUAGCGAAAGUUACGCUAAUACCGCAUACGAUCUAAGGAUGAAAGUGGGGGAUCGCAAGACCUCAUGCUCCUGGAGCGGCCGAUAUCUGAUUAGCUAGUUGGUAGGGUAAAGCUACCAAGGCAUCGAUCAGUAGCUGGUCUGAGAGGACGACCAGCCACACUGGAACUGAGACACGGUCCAGACUCCUACGGGAGGCAGCAGUGGGGGAAUUUUGGACAAUGGGCGCAAGCCUGAUCCAGCAAUGCCGCGUGAGUGAAGAAGGCCUGGUU